ACUAGGAUUAAGGAGGAUCAGGAAGGUUUCUCACGGAAGGAGAGACGUUAGCUGGCAAAUGAAGGAAACCAGGGAAGUAAGAGGCAGAGUGGAAGAAGGAGGGUGUUCCAAUCACAGGGGAGCAUCAGAAGAUGGAAGAGUGAGGCAGCGUGCCAUGUCACUGACAAAAGAUUACGUGCUGGAGUCGAGGGUGGUGGCAUAUUGUAGAGCUGCCAGAGUCAAUUCUGAGCCAAGCCCCGGAAUGUCUGCGGUCUCAGCGAGUCAACAAGCAAUGAAAUUGGAUUCACUUUUUCCGGAGUGAUGCUGGCUACAUCAUACCUACACUCUGGAAGGGAGGAGACCCGUCCAAAAGCAAAUACCGUCCAUUAGUGAGAGGCCCUGGAAGGAAUUCAUUCCUAGACAAUCAUUGACCUGCCUCCCAGCAGUGACAGGCACCUGCCACCCAGGACCAGCCGAGAAAGGAAUCUCCAGGGGCCUGCAAUACUUCCCACAUCACCCUGAUUCCGUAAGGCCAGCAGAGCAAGACAUAAUUUUUAAAAAUAAAGGAGCUGAAAUGUGCGUUGACACUGGAUUUAAAAGACCAAAUGCACUCCACAUAGUCCUCAUAAGAUCUAUCAUAGGAGUACGAGGGGAAGUUGGGUGGUACUUCAGUAUCCUCAUCUGGUAAAUGGGGCUAAUAAUAGCCCCUGCCUCCCAAGGUUGUUUUAAGGAUCAAACGAAAUGAUCUUUCUAAAGCACCUCGCAUAUCUUAAAGGUCUUUAUAAAUGCCAUUAGCUAUUAUGAUUAGCAAUAAAAG